rnacentral:rRNA from 1 species
GACGAACGCUGGCGGCGCGCUUAACACAUGCAAGUCGAACGGAAAGGCCUGCUUUCCCUUGUGGAUUGCGGGUACUCGAGUGGCGAACGGGUGAGUAACACGUGAGUGAUCUGCCCCCAACUGGGGUAUAAGCCUGGGAAACUGGGUCUAAUUCCCGAUAGGACUGCAGGGUGGUGCCUGUGGUGGAAAACGAUUUUCUAGUGGUUGGGGAUGAGCUCGCGGCCUAUCAGCUUGUUGGUGGGGUAAUGGCCUACCAAGGCGGCGACGGGUAGCCGGCCUGAGAGGGUGGACGGCCACAUUGGGACUGGGCCACGGCCCAGACUCCUGCGGGCGGCAGCAGUGGGGAAUAUUGCGCAAUGGGCGGAAGCCUGAUACAGCGACGCCGCGUGGGGGAUGACGGCCUUCGGGUGGUAAACUCCUUUCGACCGCGAGGAAGCCACCUGGUUGGAAGGGUGGUGACGGUAGUGGUAGAAGAAGCACCGGCUAACUACGUG